AUUGAACGCUGGCGGCAGGCUUAACACAUGCAAGUCGAGCGGGGUGAUGGUGCUUGCACUAUCACUUAGCGGCGGACGGGUGAGUAAUGCUUAGGAAUCUGCCUAUUAGUGGGGGACAACAUCUCGAAAGGGAUGCUAAUACCGCAUACGUCCUACGGGAGAAAGCAGGGGAUCACUUGUGACCUUGCGCUAAUAGAUGAGCCUAAGUCGGAUUAGCUAGUUGGUGGGGUAAAGGCCUACCAAGGCGACGAUCUGUAGCGGGUCUGAGAGGAUGAUCCGCCACACUGGGACUGAGACACGGCCCAGGCUACUACGGGAGGAAGCAGUGGGGAAUAUUGGACAAUGGGGGGAACCCUGAUCCAGCCAUGCCGCGUGUGUGAAGAAGGCCUUAUGGUUGUAAAGCACUUUAAGCGAGGAGGAGGCUCUUUUGGUUAAUACCCAAGCUGAGUGGACGUUACUCGCAGAAUAAGCACCGGCUAACUCUGUGCCAGCCGCCGCGGUAA
rnacentral:rRNA from 1 species